AUGCCUUCCACCAUUUUGCUGAUGGUCUCCAUCACUUCCGUCAUGAGGAGCGCCCGACCCACGGAAGGUUACUGGUUUGAUGGUUUGUUGAAAUGUGAGGUUAAUGGACUAUGCACAGUGCUCUUACUGACAGAACUAUUCCAGAAUCAUCUCUGCCACAGACGUCAAGUGCCUGCCCCAUGGACACCUUUAGGGCAAAGGAAUGCAGUUGUGAGCCAUUUGCUCCUUCCCUGGAUGACGCAUUCACCGUACGCCAGCCUCCUGACUCCCAUCACACGGUAACCCACCCCUGUGGAUGAAAUGAUGCAACAGAAACAAGAACCAGCCUCCACUCAGAUCCUCUCCAUGGGCAGCAAGAGAGAUUGCUGGCUUGCGGGUGGGCCUGCCCCCCAUGAGCACCAUGAUCCUGACUCCAGUGUCGACCCAGAGCAGGUCAGGAGGUGAAGGGAACAGCGAACACCAAGUAAGUUUCCAGCCUCCCAGAGUCUGGGACGCAUCAAUACUGUAUUCCUUGUCCCCAUGGGAAGAAGGGAGAAAGAAAGAUGCUCCCUCUCCCUCAAAUGUCCACAUCCUAAUCCUAGCAACCAGCGCAGCGAAGAGGGAAAAAGAGACUCUGCAGAUAUGAUUACGUAUCUUGAGACAGGAGGGUAUCACGGAGAAUCCAGAUGGGCUCAGUGUCAUCACCGAGGUCCUUAAGUGAAAACAGAAGACGUGAGGACGGAGGCAGGGGUGGGGUGAGGCCUUCACUGGCUGUGAAGAGGGAGGAAGGACCCGUGAGCUGAAAGACAUGCAGGAGCCUCCAAAAGCUGGCAAAGCCAGGAAAUUGACUCUCCCCUGCAGCCUCCACAAGGAACCAGCCCCGCCGACACCUUGAUCCUGCGCCCCCUGAGACUCGCCUAACUCUAACGCCCAGAACUGUAAGAUUUGUGUUGUUGUGGUGACUCAGUGCUGCCCAUUCGUUCCUGCAGCCACAGGACAGCAUCAGGGGGAGGCCCUUCUGGAUCCUCCGGCGGCAUCGGGGCCUCCAGAGCCGACUCCUGGGGGCCCAAGCCCUGUGUGCUCGGGGUCUCAGCUGAAGGCCGUGGCCCCACGUGGCGGGGACAUGGGCGUGUCCUGCUUGCUGACGGAGCCCCAGGUUAUCUGGGACGCAUCCCAAUGUAUAUUGAAUGAUUUGAAGAAACAUUAAAGAAACACCGUGUUUUCACAUCUGACUUUAUGCCACACUCGGAAACUGCUUGACAGAAGGCCUGGAGCCCAAGCUUCUUCAGCUGCUAGAUGGAGCCUUCGCUGCCUGGGAAUCUGCAUUCUGUCCAGACGCCUGGAGCCCUGGGAGCCCGGGGCCCCCAGCGUGUGCGCACAGGUGUCUGUGAGCCCGGGGAGACAGAGUUCGGUGCAUCAGAAGGGGGCCUCCACUCCACGCUCCCCUUUGCUUCCUUCUGAGCAGCUGGGGGAAGGAAGUGAGACCAGCCUAAGUGUAGAACCUAAGAAAGAACCAGGAAUUCGUUGAUGGCGCGGGGACCCCCUGGCUACCGAGGGAUCCUCCAGAAGCCCCUGCAGGCAGAGCCGUGCCAUCGGCCCGAAGGGCACUGUGUCUCCUGCUCAGACGCCUUUCCUGCCUCACGGGCUCCCUGUUAGCGGAACUGUGUUGUGCGGGCGCCAAGGCACCACUGGUAAAAAAAAUAAUAAUAAAAAUAAAAUGCAGUUCCA
rnacentral:lncRNA from 12 species